rnacentral:rRNA from 1 species
GAUGAACCCUCGCGCAGCCUAAAUAUAAUGUAGAGGGAGAGUUUCUUUUGGUGAACAAAAACCCGCGCGGGGCGUAUCACCGUACACAAUUCCCUUUUCAUAUAGAUAUACCCAAAAAAAUUUGGAUUUAUCCCUAUGUGGUAUAACAGAGGGGCAUCUUUUUUUAUUUUAACGCUGCUGGUGAGAAAGAUGAGUACGCUUUCUUUUCCCGAGUGGGAGAGGAAACGCCCCCCAACGCCACUAUAUAUAGGGUUUCUGAGAGGGAUGUCCCCCCACUCGUGCUCUGAGAUAGGGCCCAGUCCUCCGCGGGAGGCAACAGUGAGGGUAUAUGGGACAAUGCUCGGAAAUGAGACCCCCCCAUCCCGCGCGCAGGAUGAAAGCCUCUAUAGAUUAUAAACCUUUUUUAAAAGGAAAGAAAAAGAGAGUACGUGCUUUUUGAUGACGGUCCCUCGAGAAAAAGCAUCGGCUAUCCCCGCCCCAGCAGCCGCGGUAAUAGAGAGGACGCGAGCGUUAUCCGGAAUUAUUGUUUUUAAAGUGUGUGUACGGGGGCUGAUAUCAGAGACGAGAAAGCUCUUAGCUCAACUAAGAAACUGCCUUUGACUCUGUCACUCUAGAAUGAGUGAAAAGUAGGUCGAAUGUGUAGUGUAGCGGUGAAAUGCUUAGAUAUUACACAGCACACCGAUAGCGAAGGCAUAUUACUCACAAUUUAUUGGCGCUGAUACGAGAAAGCGUGGAGAGCGCACAGG